UGUGUACUCCCUCCGUUCCAAAAUACUUGACUUCCAUUUGUCCAAAAAUGGAUGUACCUAUAUACUAAGACAUGUCUAGAUACAUAUAUAUUUUGACAAAUAGAAGGCAUGUAUUGUGCAACAGAGGGAGUAGAAU
rfam:Triticum aestivum genome assembly, contig: Triticum_aestivum_CS42_TGACv1_scaffold_200149_3AL